rnacentral:ncRNA from 15 species
AAAAGAGUUAGAGGUUGCGUCUUUAAUUAGUAACACUUCAGAAGUUAUUAAGGAACGUGUGUUGAAAGUGUGGAAGGUAAAGAUGCCGAAAUGAAUGAUACCCUUAAUUAUCAUUUGUUGGGACAGUUAUCGAAUAGAAACUGUACUGUCACAAUUUGUGAUGUGCUACCGACGG